UAGGGAAUAUUGGACAAUGGGGGCAACCCUGAUCCCGCCAUGCCGCGUGAGUGAAGAAGGCCCUCGGGUUGUAAAGCUCUUUUGUCCGGAAAGAAAAGCUUCGGGUUAAUACCCCGGGGUUCUGACGGUACCGGAAGAAUAAGCACCGGCUAACUUCGUGCCAGCAGCCGCGGUAAUACGAAGGGUGCAAGCGUUACUCGGAAUUACUGGGCGUAAAGCGUGCGUAGGUGGUUGUUUAAGUCUGAUGUGAAAGCCCUGGGCUCAACCUGGGAAUGGCAUUGGAAACUGGGCAGCUAGAGUGCGGUAGAGGGUAGUGGAAUUCCCGGUGUAGCAGUGAAAUGCGUAGAGAUCGGGAGGAACAUCUGUGGCGAAGGCGACUGCCUGGACCAGCACUGACACUGAGGCACGAAAGCGUGGGGAGCAAACA
rnacentral:rRNA from 1 species